rnacentral:rRNA from 1 species
UACGUAUGGUGCAAGCGUUAUCCGGAUUUACUGGGUGUAAAGGGAGCGCAGGCGGCGCGUUAAGCCUGGUGUGAAAGCCCGCGGCCCAACCGCGGGACUGCAUUGGGAACUGGCGCGCUGGAGUGCCGGAGGGGUAGGCGGAAUUCCUGGUGUAGCGGUGAAAUGCGUAGAUAUUAGGAGGAACACCAGUGGCGAAGGCGGCCUACUGGACGGUGACUGACGCUGAGGCUCGAAAGCGUGGGGAGCAAACAGG